UACGGAGGGAGCUAGCGUUGUUCGGAAUUACUGGGCGUAAAGCGCACGUAGGCGGCUUUGUAAGUUAGGGGUGAAAGCCCGGGGCUCAACCCCGGAAUUGCCUUUAAGACUGCAUCGCUUGAAUCCGGGAGAGGUGAGUGGAAUUCCGAGUGUAGAGGUGAAAUUCGUAGAUAUUCGGAAGAACACCAGUGGCGAAGGCGGCUCACUGGAC
rnacentral:rRNA from 1 species